ACCCCUGUGAUGCAAUUGGCAGACAUCGCUUACUCAGGUUAAGCGUUUUUGCAGGUUCAAAUCCUGCCAGGGGUA
rnacentral:tRNA from 2 species